rnacentral:tRNA from 1 species
GGGGGUGUGGCUCAGCAGGAGAGCACUCGCCUAGCAUGUGUGAGGUCCUGAGUUUGAUCCUCGGUACCACAU